AGUUAAGCGAUUCCCUGAUUCUCCUCUGGCGCUUAACUACUGAAGAGAUAAUUAUUUCGUUUCAGUUGGAUUUUUUCCCUAUUGCUGACAUUUUUUCUUUAAAUUUCAAUUAAAUCCAAGACGAUUCCGUCGCCCUCGACAGUCGUUUCCCCUUUAGAGCAGAUUAACGGUGAAAAUGCCAAGUAGGAGGAAGAGAGAAGCGUACCUAGUUGUAUAUAUUUUCAGAAGCAGUUAACUGAGUCGGGUCGCGCUUAUCGCUUUGUCCCCAACGGAAUUUGCUGCGAUUCGUAUUGGAUUUGCUGCCCAUUAAUGCUCGGCGGGAUGGGGAAAUGUGGGUGGUAGAGCAGAGAGUCUUUUAGAAACUUGUUCCGUUUCAAUAGGUUAUUUUAAUGAGCAGUCGUCACACGGUGAAUUCUUUUCCAUCCACGAAGAAGUCUCGAUUGAGCUUUUUUUCCUUUAAUUUGUGAAGAGAAGAAAGGAGAAAACUCGGAAUGAGACCUAUCUGCGAAUCGUCUGCAGCUAAUGAUUGCUUUAACCUAGAUUUUCCUGGGUGGAACGAUAAGAACACGUGAAGGAUUUUGCGAGUUUUCAGGGGGAGAAACAUUUCUUUUGGACUGCCAGAAAUUGAUGUUGCUGCCAAUGACAAAAGAAUAGAGAAAUCGAAUAUUAGAACAAAUUUAAUCAUAGUACUUGUCCAACUUUAGGGUGACCAUAUGAGGCGAGUAAAAAACCAGGACAGUCGAAAGAGGACUGCCUCCCCCCGUUCCCUAUCAAUCGACUGUGCCUUCUCCACAGGUUUUCGGCAGUUACAAAGAUCUUGGGUCGGACAGGCAGAGCUUCGGCAGUUAAAAAGUUCUGUGGGUCUGGGAGGAAGAGCUCUACCAGAAAUUUUUUCGUGGGAAUUCGAUCACCGUGCUUUUUAGGAUUUACACACACACGCGAAGUUCUUGCUACACCACCACCAGCGAAAGUUUCAUGCUUUUGUUGGAGAAAUCGGAAAUCCCGAAUUGAGCAAAUGAGACAAAUUAUUAUGAGAUCGUCUGUGCAGGAACAGGCGAGGAGUUUUCAGCACUAAAUGCACGUCAUUGAAGCAAAGCAGAAACAUCAAUGGUCCCAAGUAGCUUCCCUGCGCUAUAUCUGGCAAUCUCGAAUGACAACCAUUUUCUCUCGAUCUGAGAGCUAGGAUCGAAACAGUUGCAAAACCUACCUAUCAAAACCGGCGGUUAGGUUGAUGUUGGUAGUAUCAGCUUGAGCGCGACUGUCCAUACUCCCUGUUAUGUAGUAUACUUGACUUUGUUAGUCGCUGUUCACCGUCCAGCCAUGAAACCAUGCCCAUACGCGAAGCCAUGUAAAUUACUUAGUCCGCUUUCACUGGGUUUAUCGUUCUUGUCCAUGUUGUCCUCUGGAUGUUGUAUGGGUUUUCUUUCACGAUUACCUGGUUUGAGUCGUUUGUGGGACCAACGGGUCACGAUCGUGUAUCCGUAUUUUUUGUUAUUUACUUUAUUGUCGGGGGUGCUGGCAGUUGAUUGGUAAGCAGCAUCACAAUGAUCGGACACGCUGUGUGUAGAUUCUGUUGUUCCAGCAUUCGUUUAGUGGUUGAGUUGCAACUCCGGUUGCUGGUGAUAUAGUUAAUGUUAUUGGGUUUGCUCGCAAUUGAUGUUGUUUCAUUAGAGGCUUUCGCACAUUGUUUGGCACACAGGGAUCUGUCCUUCAUAUGUGCACAGUGUGAUUUGAGAUUUGCUUCUCACGAUACGAGCACCAUUGGAUAUACCUGGAAAAAAGUUUCUCCAGGUUUCAAACUUUAACCGUUACGUACUUCGACAACAAUAGUAAAUUUAUUCAGUACCGUAUUUACGCAUGGGCUCACUGGGCCAGGGCCAGGGGCCCCACACUUAGGAUAAAUAUAAAAUCAUUUUAAAGAUAUUGUUGACACCGCUGGGCAGUCACUGUAGGCAGUCGGUAAUACCGCAGUCGGCAAGACAGCCGAACCCAUGUCAAGUGAGACCACUCGCAAAGGUGAAAUAGUGAGGAAACGCUGUCAUGUGAGGAAAGAAAAAGAAGAAAAAAAGUUGAAUCAAAACAAACUAAGAAAUUGUGCGUGAGGAAAAUAGUCGGAGAAUAAUCUUUUUAUUGCGAAAAAUUAAGUUUAAGUAAAGUAAAAAUUCGAAGAUUUAGUUGUAGAGCAGUCUACUCUCUGUACUACUGUCGCCGUACGUGAAUUUGGACGGCUAGCAAAUUGAUAGUGCAGCAAGAAGAGGCUCAGAGGAGAUUAAAUCUGCUGAAUAUUUUAUCGCGCCACCCGAAUAACUGUCGUCGUUCGCUGAGUCGGACGACAAGCAAACCGAAGGAGUAGCAGGAGAGAAGAGGAGAAGGUGAAAUCAGGAAAGAUUCGACAUUGGAAGAACGAGGAUACUAUUUAAUUUUUGAGCUGCUGCUGAUAGUGCUGCUACAAAAAUAUAGUUUCUGGUUCAUCCGAACAGAUAUUUUAAAAAAUAGUCGCACUCAAUUGGUCAUAACUUUUUAGCGUGUGGCAACAACAAUGUACCGUUUGGUAGAUCACGUAUACAAAGUAUGGAAGAGGCACCGGACCUUAGCCAACUAACUAGAAAACCUUGUUUGGCAAGCGAUCUGCGAAUAUGGCAAAAUAUUUAUUUCUUCGUCACAUUCAGGUCCGUCAACCGACGAAUUCAAGUGGAAGUGCCCAAAAGUAACUUCAUGAGCUCUGGAAAGGAAGGUUUGACACUUUUUGGCCGGAUUUGGCAUGUUUCACUCUGCUCGAUUAGUCUUAGAUUGACACAGAACCAAUAAUGUUGUUUUUGCUACACUGCGCCCUAUCAAAAAAAAAUUAAUCUGUCGUGAGGACAAAGGUUCGUUAAAUCUCAAGAGAGAAGUUUAAAAAUGCCCUUGUGAAAGUGCCUACACACAUCAAUCCUAGCUUUACUCUAUAUUUGAUUAAAUGAGUCACUGCAAAUGUGCAUGCAUUUGAGGAUAUUUGAAGUAGCUGGGACAUUUUGUAGCUUAAAUUGUUUAUAAAUAUUCUUGUAUGGUGCAAA